UACAGAGGUCCCAAGCGUUGUUCGGAUUUAUUGGGCGUAAAGAGCGUGUAGGCGGCCAGGUAGGUCUGCUGUGAAAACUCGGAGGCUCAACCUCGAGACGUCGGCGGAAACCAUCUGGCUAGAGUCCGGAAGAGGAGAGUGGAAUUCCUGGUGUAGCGGUGAAAUGCGCAGAUAUCAGGAAGAACACCCGUGGCGAAGGCGGCUCUCUGGGACGGUACUGACGCUGAGACGCGAAAGCGUGGGGAGCAAACAGG
rnacentral:rRNA from 1 species